rnacentral:lncRNA from 1 species
CAGACAGAAAAAGCUAUACGGACACUACUUACUACUUACCUGCAAACUGACAUUUCAUUUCAGAAUCGGUUAAAAUUAGGUUACGUUUUAGAUUUUGGUUAUUUGUUUUGCAGGUCAGCAGUGUAUUUAUAGUCUCUCCCAGCACAGCCCAACUCAGCUAAGCGCAGCAUGGAGAAACACAACCAACACAGAACAGUGAAUAUGGUGUGAGUAAAAUGGCCAAUUAAUUGUUUAAUUUUGAUUAGCACACAAGCAAGCCAGUUGCAAACUAACUAGCAAAAAGAGUUUGGUGAUGCAGUGUAGCACUCACUGGGGAAUUGCUAUCUGAGUUGUAUUAAAUGGGGGAAAUGUCAUCUGGCCUGCAGUCUGAGGUGAUCACUAGAGACACACAGGUGACUGUUAGGUCCCAGUCAACACCUUUACCUACCAUUGGGAAACACCUGAUUUGUACUUAACACCUGGGAACCAUGGCAAUGGCCUCAGGGGAGCUGGGGAGAUGGAGCAGGGAAGGGGAAGGGGCUGCGUCCAUGUGGUGUUGUAGGGAUGAAGGAUAUGGGACGGGUCCUUGAAGGCAGCAGUGUCUGCUGGUCUCUCGAGGAAUGGAGUUGCGACAUCUGGUAUAAGUGUAAGGCCAGGGGACUAGAUGGUAGGUUACUAGAUGGUAGGUCACAAGAUGAUGGUAGGUCACUAGAUGAUGGUCGGUCACUAGAUGAUGGUAGGUCACUAGAUGAUGGUAGGUCACCAGAUGAUGGUAGGUCACUAGAUGGUAGGACACUAGAUGAUGGUAGGUCACUAGAUGGUGGUAGGUCACUAGAUGGUGGUAGGUCGAUAGAUGAUGGUUGGUCGAUAGAUGAUGGUAGGUCACUAGACGAUGGUAGGUCACUAGACGAUGCUAGGUCACUACACGAUGGUAGGUCACUAGAUGAUGGUAGGUCACUAGAUGAUGGUAGGUCACUAGAUGGUGGUAGGUCACUAGAUGGUGGUAGGUCACUAGAUGAUGGUAAGCAUGGCACAUCCAUCAGUUUUAGCAUGGUCAGGCAAUGACGACCCUAAUGAAUUAGGGCAAAUCAUAUGUUCAUACUUUACCAUGCUUUUACUACAACCCCUGUCUGCCUGCAUGUCUGUCUGUCUGUCCGAUCGGCUUACAGAGAGGUAAAGUCAGUGGUGAACUCUACCCUGCAGAAAUAGAGAGCAGGAUACAGAUGUUACAGACAGACACCAGGCCUGGGUGGGUCUCUGAAUACAGAUGUUACAGACAGACACCAGGCCUGGUUGAGUCUCUGAAUACAAAGCCUGGGUUUCUGCUGGAGUAAAAUGAAGCUGCCCUCCAACACUGAUCCAAGGUCUGAUUUGUGUUUCUCCCUCAACUCGUUGGGGGUUUUCCUUCUCUUUCUUUCUUUCACCUUGUUUUCGGAGCCCUGGUCAGUCCUAAGUUCCCAGUGGUGCCGUGGAUAGAAGUAGCUGCUAAGCAAAAUCACCUCACAGACAACACUCACUGACACACACUGACGCUUGGAGAAAGGGAGAGGGACUUUAAGGUAGCAGAGGACACUGGACAGGAGAGCAUUAUAUACUGAGUUG